UACAGAGGGGGCAAGCGUUGUUCGGAAUUAUUGGGCGUAAAGAGCUCGUAGGUGGUUUGUUACGUCUGCUGUGAAAACCUAGGGCUUAACCCUGGGCCUGCAGUGGAUACGGGCAGACUAGAGGUAGGUAGGGGAGAAUGGAAUUCCCGGUGUAGCGGUGAAAUGCGCAGAUAUCGGGAGGAACACCGGUGGCGAAGGCGGUUCUCUGGGCCUUACCUGACACUGAGGAGCGAAAGCGUGGGGAGCGAACAGG
rnacentral:rRNA from 1 species